GGGAAGGCCCAGACAGCCAGGAUGUUGGCUUAGAAGCAGCCAUCAUUUAAAGAAAGCGUAAUAGCUCACUGGUCGAGUCGGCCUGCGCGGAAGAUGUAACGGGGCUAAACCAUGCACCGAAGCUGCGGCAGCGACGCUGAUGCGUUGUUGGGUAGGGGAGCGUUCUGUAAGCCUGCGAAGGUGGCCUGUGAGGGUUGCUGGAGGUAUCAGAAGUGCGAAUGCUGACAUAAGUAACGAUAAAGCGGGUGAAAAGCCCGCUCGCCGGAAGACCAAGGGUUCCUGUCCAACGUUAAUCGGGGCAGGGUGAGUCGACCCCUAAGGCGAGGCCGAAAGGCGUAGUCGAUGGGAAACGGGUUAAUAUUCCCGUACUUGGUGUUACUGCGAAGGGGGGACGGAGAAGGCUAUGUUGGCCGGGCGACGGUUGUCCCGGUUUAAGCGUGUAGGUGUGUGUUCCAGGUAAAUCCGGUUCACUUUAACACUGAGGCGUGAUGACGAGGCACUACGGUGCUGAAGCAACAAAUGCCCUGCUUCCAGGAAAAGCCUCUAAGCAUCAGGUAACAUCAAAUCGUACCCCAAACCGACACAGGUGGUCAGGUAGAGAAUACCAAGGCGCUUGAGAGAACUCGGGUGAAGGAACUAGGCAAAAUGGUGCCGUAACUUCGGGAGAAGGCACGCUGACAUGUAGGUGAAGUGAUUUACUCAUGGAGCUGAAGUCAGUCGAAGAUACCAGCUGGCUGCAACUGUUUAUUAAAAACACAGCACUGUGCAAACACGAAAGUGGACGUAUACGGUGUGACGCCUGCCCGGUGCCGGAAGGUUAAUUGAUGGGGUCAGCGCAAGCGAAGCUCCUGAUCGAAGCCCCGGUAAACGGCGGCCGUAACUAUAACGGUCCUAAGGUAGCGAAAUUCCUUGUCGGGUAAGUUCCGACCUGCACGAAUGGCGUAAUGAUGGCCAGGCUGUCUCCACCCGAGACUCAGUGAAAUUGAACUCGCUGUGAAGAUGCAGUGUACCCGCGGCAAGACGGAAAGACCCCGUGAACCUUUACUAUAGCUUGACACUGAACAUUGAGCCUUGAUGUGUAGGAUAGGUGGGAGGCUUUGAAGUGUGG
rnacentral:rRNA from 1 species